GGAGGUAGUGACAAUAAAUCACAAUGCGGAACUUCUGUUUUGCAAUUGGAUUGAGAACAACGCACAACACUUAUCGAUAAACAAUUGGAGGGCAAGUCUGGUGCCAGCAGCCGCGGUAAUUCCAGCUCCAAUAGCGUAUAUUAACGUUGUUGCAGUUAAAAAGCUCGUAGUUGAAGUGAAGUGUGAAUCUCUUGGAUUUUCGUUUGAAUUUCCUUUAGCUUCAUACUCUUUCCAAAUAGUUUGCAUGGGUAUCUACUUAUCUGUGUAUUGCAUUUGGUCAUUUACUGUGAGAAAAUUAGAGUGUUCAAAGCAUACGUUUGUUUGAAUACAUUAGCAUGGAAUAAUUCGAAAAGGCUUUCAUGUUCGAUUUGAUUGGUUUGUUCGUGAAGGCAAGAUUAAAAGGGACAGUUGGGGGUAUUCAUAUUCAAUAGUCAGAGGUGAAAUUCUCGGAUUUAUGGAGGAUGAACAAGUGCGAAAGCA
rnacentral:rRNA from 1 species